AAGUUUAUAAAGCCACAUCCUAUUUAUGAGAGAUAAUAAAGCUUCUUUAGUUAGUUGCUGAUCCGCACCAGCGUCUGGAGAUCAAACUAUUUCCACAGAGAAAAACUCAAAAAGAGCCUAUUUGAAAUCCUGACAGAAAUGGGGCGAGCAUUGACUCUGCUGAUCACAGUGAUCCUGUUUGUGUCGUGGAGUGUCAAAGUACAGUCCUCAGAUGCUUCUACCACUCCAGGCCAAUCCACCACCAAGUCAUCUGCAAGCAAUGCAAUGCCACACCACGUCGCUCUGAUCCUGCUCAGCGUCGUGGUCGGGUCCAUCCUGGGAAGAGGGCAAUGAAGGAUGAAGCUGUAAAGAUGCCAUGAGUGUCAAACCUUCUCUUUCUUCCUCCCUUUACAUUCACUCUCAUGUCUGAAUUUAAAACUCAAUCGUCCAGCGUCAAAAGAAGAGAAUUAAAAAAUAACUCUUUAACAGUCUUGUCUGUGUUGAGGCUGCAUUGUGGGGUAGUGGUUAGCACUCUCACCUAAAAGCAAAGAAGCUUAUUGGUGUGGGUGUGACCAGCCCCCCCCCCUCCUUUGCCUCAUAUUAUACAUUCCAUCAUUGCUCCCAGCAGAACACAGACACUCACCUGAGUACAGGAGCCAGCUCACCUUUGCACAAAUAGCAUGCAUGCAGGAAUGAUACACAUACGACAUGUUUUUGUUUAUAUGCAUGAGUACGGCGUGUGAGCUGCUCCGUAUUUGUAUUGUAAACGCGUUUGAAAGUUCUUGGAGCGCCAACAAGUUUGUGAAAUUCGAAUGAGUGUUUAGUUUGAUAGGCCCCGCCCUUUUGACUAACACUCAUUUAAAUGCAGCAAUGAUUAAUCUCCAGCAACUUGUUGCUUUGUGUUUCCAACCUCCCAUCCCCGCCCCCACCCGACGACUUUUUUCCUCAACUUCCUCUUUCGUACCCCCCCAUCUCUAACAUCCCACUCUCUCCAUUUCUCUUCUUUUUCAAGUCCACUUCCAACAAGAAAUCUAUAGAAACAAAAUACAUAUUUAUAAAGUUUGGCUUUAAAAACCAAAGAAGUUCAUACAAAACUGUACAGUCAAAUUAGAUCAAAUUGUCUGUGUAAAAGAAAGAAAUAAAGCAAUCUAUGAUUAAGAGCUAAAUGUAAAACAUAAAAUGGCACCAGCUGACUAAAUAUUGCUAAAAAAUAUAUAUUUUUUUAUACAUAAACAAAAAAAAUACAGCAACAAGAGUGUUCCAACUCGGCUAUUAAAAUGUCAGUUUUCAAAUUUAUUUCAGUUUCUAAAUAAAUUUACUUUUUAAAAACAUAUUUAAAACAUUUCCUUUAACACUUUAUCAUAGAAAAACAAAAUAAGCCAAGCACACAGAACAAAGCAGGAACUACAGAUCUGCUUUACAGCAUUAAGAAAACUCAAAAUUUACAUAAAGUUGUUAGUUUUCUGUCUCUGCUCUCUGCUUUUUUUCUAUUUGAGCUCCUGGGUGAACUGCUGGUUGAGUAAAAACUGUCUCCAUCCCAUGUUUUCCCAAAGACAAACAAAGGACUGUCCACGAUGUACUCAUUGUUAUGCUUGACCCUUGGAUAUUCCUGUGCUUUGAAUAUACAGAUUGUAGUUAUGUCAUCGUCAUCUGUUUAGUCUAAAGGUAUCAUAGAAAUGGUUCUGUCAUUACAGUUUAUUGCAUGGAAAAAAUAUAUAUUUAUAGAUGGUUAUGUCACCAUGUUUAUGAUUGACUCAGUACAUUAUACCUUAAUCUUGUGUAAUGAAUGCUCUGAAUCUGUAUUUUCACUCUGUAAUGAAAGCCUUAUAAAUUUUGUCACAAUAAAAAGUGAUUUUCACUUUA